AGACCUACAAAGUAAAACCGGAAACACAUUGACUGUUUUACAACACAAAACGCAGGGACCCGAACGGAGCACAGAGCGGAGACACAGAUGUUCCAGGCUGACAAGAAGAGGAAUGAAGAAACAGAAAAAACUCAAAAAGUUGAUAAACCAGCUCGAGGACGAGAAGAAGAAAACUGAGAAAAAUCUCAAUGAGCUGGUAAAGAUGCUCAAGAACAAGAAGAAGAAAAACUGAGGAAAAACUAAAAGAGGAGAUCCACAGCAGCCGUCAAGCAGCCACAACAGCUCCACCAUCAUAUACGGGAAGGAUAUAUUAUCAAAGUCACUAUUAAUACUAAGGACUGGAGUGCUUGAGGUCAAAGCACUUAAUGAUGGAGAAACUUGAUGUCAGUUAUGUCACU